ensembl:lncRNA
UUUUUUUUUCUUCUCAUAUCUAUUGCCGCCCACUCCUAACUGCUAAGGCCCUGAGAUGUGACUCCUGAUAGAUUCUAGGAGUCUGCUUUGCUAUAUCUGCUGACUUCAUGUUAGCAAAGCAGAAUUAAAUACCAGCUAAAGCUCUAGAGACCAGGAAGCUUUUCCUGCUUACCUGGUGCUUUAUCUCCAAAAGUAACUGUAGAGGAAAAUCUUGGCCUAAUUUUCUGAAAUCAGAACAAAUAUUUAUUCGAUAAAUAUGUAGGUUAUAUGUGCCUUCUUAAGAGUCACUAUUAAACCAAAAAUCCAGUGCAGUGUGUCUGACUUUUACAAAGGCUGUGUGUGUGUUUGUGUGUGUGUGUGUGUACAAUUUCCUGCAUAGCAAAUGGCCAUGGAAACGUAGAGUACCAGCUUAAUAUAAGUCCUCAUCAAAGCUGAUUUCCCUCUUCUCUUAAAACAGAAGGGAGUAAAAUGAAGCCUGAAAAUAAUGUUGCAACUAUCUGACUCCAAUGAAGAGUAAAGAAGAGAAAGCCCAGAUUGCUUCAUUUUUUUUUUUUAAACUGAGUAGACCUGUUUUUCAAAUUUAUAGCAAGUUGCCAAGUUUGACAGAAUGGCUUUUUGCCUUAUCCCUGCCAAGGUUUCUAACCCACAGCAGCAUGAGUUAUGAGGGAGGCAGGAGGAAGACAAAACUGAUUAUCAUUCCUUUGUAACUUGGAAUACUGAAACUCAAAGCCGGACUACUUGUGAUUUUUAAACUGGGAGCCUUGUGUUGGUUGCCAGGAUUAUCCAGCAUCUUCUUGAGCCUGAGCCCUUUCCUUCCUUCAUUCACUCAACAAGGAUUUUCUGAACAGGUACUGGGUGCUAGGCAUUAUAUUAGACCCUCAAGGAUGCAGAAAUGAAUAAAUACGGCAUUUACCCUUGAGGAGCUCAAAAUCUGGUAAACAAAGGACCUAAAAACAACUAAUUAUAAUAUAUUAUGAUGAAAGCACAGAAGAAAUAUUCUCUUCUAAUACAGGAUGCUUUGGGAACAUAGAUUAAAAAGCUGCUAAUUCUGCAGUCUGAGCAUAUUUGUUUUUUGAAUAUGGUAGAGGGAUUUGGAAUCUUUCACAAGAAAAACACUUCUGUAUCAAAUUGUUAAUAUGUUAGGACUGAUUAAUUAAGAGUAAUAAGGAACCCUUGGUAGUUAUUAUUUUAUUAUUAUUGACUUGUACUGGUGAUCAAACACUCUGGUAAUAGCUAACUUCUCACAUUUUGCCCAUGAGGAAAUUGAGGCUAAGAAUUUAAUAAGGCCUUAAUAUAUAAACUGUCUUCACAUUAAAUUUCUGCAAGGAAACUCAAGCUAUUCAAACUUUGAAAAUAUAACAGGAAUUAGUUUCUGCCAUUGUCAUGAAAAAGGAGAGCUAAGACUAACUGGAGAGGAGCACAGUACAGGAGUUUGCUGCUGCCCACUCAUGGGGCAUAAAGAGAAUAUGAGGACAGGUCAAGAACUGCCAUCAGCCCUAACUCUCCACAGGUACUGGACAACUUAUGGCACUUACCCCUAUCCCAUCUGCUUCUCCCAGAACCAGUCUGCAUGGAAGAAGAGAAGGCGGAAAUGGAAAAAGAAGUGGUAAGAGUGGCCGGAUUCCAUCAACUGCUACAAUCUGGCUUCUCAAAGAUUCAUGAGAGGGCAUCCUGGUUCCUCCUUUCAACUAAACCACCCACAUUAUAGGUUGGCCACUUAGAGCACAAGUUCCAUGAUAUUGCGGCCAUCAAUGUAGGAGUGAGCUGUGUGCUUGUUAAAUAAGCAAAGACACCUUGGUUGGUCAUCCCAAGGCUCAGUGUGUCAGUCAAGUAAGUGAGGUGCAUUUAAGGAACUGAAGAGAAAGUAGAACUGAAAUUUCCUGUCUUAUCCAUUUUCUCUCCAGAAUCUUUUGGAUUCUUUUGGAGGCAUCUUCCACUGUGUCAUGAGAAUUUGGCCAUUUUGAUAUCGCAAUAUUCUUUUCUAUGAUUUAGAUAAGCAUUACAGAGUCUAAAUUUUCAGUCACAUGUUAAGGAAAUCAUUUUAAAAAAUCGCAAAGAGAUAAUAGCACUGCCACCAAUUAUUCUCAGGAGCCAUAUGGAAGCAUUGGAUUCAGAAUGGCCUGGUAGUCAGAAGCCUGUUCUGCCAAUAUCCAACUCUGUGACCUUGAUAGUUGUUUUAACUCCUCUGUCCCUUAAGAGCCCUAACUAUGAGAUGUGGGGUUUGGACUAGAUUAAUGCUCCCCAAAUAUAAGCUCAUGGGACAUUUACACAUAAUUUAAGAACUUUCCAACCUAUACUAGAUAUGGGGGGGGGUGAGUUCCAAGAUCCACAUAUUUUAAUGUCUCACAAAAGGUGGGCUGUGCAGCUAGUCUGGAAAACCAUGGGGUUUCUUUCAUCUUUGUCAAAUAAUGGUUUGAUGAGGUGGACAAGCAUGAAAAAGAAUCUAGGAAGAAAUAGGUAAGGUUAGGUCUGCAUUCAAAUAUAAAGAACAGCAAACAACUCACAAACACAUCAUGAUCUUACUACCAAGCAAAACUCUCUUCACUUAAUCACAAAUGGACACUUCUCUAACAAAUUGUAGGCAUCACAGAUUUUAGAUUUUUUUUUCAUUUUAAAUGAGGUAUUAAUAGCUAAAACAUUACCUUUUUUUCCCCCUCACAGCCAAAACAAAACGCAAACUCAGCAACUGAGAGCAAGACAAUUAAAUGGGGGCUUAUGAUGAAGAUAGAGUUUUUUAAAGCCAAAGGUACUUCCAACCAAUGAAGCAGGUGCCUUGAUCAGCAAGCAUAGUUAAGAAAGAAAAUUGAAUUCUUUGAAAACAAUUUGGAACGGAACAUGGAAACCAUAUCCAAACAAUGUUCUGGGGCUGACAUUUCAAAAAUGUAUUUGCUCUUUAUUCUAAUCAUUUUGGUACUUUCAUCAGAGUGAAGGCAUGACAUAUGGAACAGAAGAUAUUCAGUGAGAUGAAGGAAUCAGAUGCAAAUGGUUGGAAAAGACUCAGAGAUUACAAUCUGGCUCACCUUACACAUCCAAUCUCAGCUCCUUAAAAACUUGUAAGAGCUGUCAUUUAUGGAAAGCCUAUGGUAGAACAGGCACUGCAUAGCUUUCCACAAUCCUCAAAGAAACUCUAAGGAGACUGAUGCACAGAAAGAUUAUCUACUUUCACAAGGUCUCCGACUUGCUAAGAGAGGGAGUUGGGAUCUGAACUUAGUUUGAACUUCCUGCUGCUUCUGAAUUCAACACCCUUCUGACUAUUAUUCUAAUACUAUUUCUGCCCUUUGAAGCCCAAGCACACAGGCAAAUAUUAGUGUGUUCAAUGUCUUCUCAGUAUGUUUUAGGGAUUUACAGGUGGAAUUUCUCUGAAACAGGUGAACACCAAUAAAGGGCUAUUACUGAAGGGUUGCUCUUUCCUCAUUUUUAUUAUUGUUGUUAUACCUGUUUUCUAUGAUAUCUAAUACAGUGCCUAUUGUUUCUGGUUGUCUAUUCUUUAUAAGACACUCAGCAACAUUGGAAAAUAAAAGAAGAUAAAAUCGUUUCUUAAAACCUUAUCUUUUCUGCAUGUUUUCACUAUGUGUUUAGAAUCUAUUGUGAAGUUUGCCUGUGGCACAACAGAUCCAGCAUUUUCACUGAGUGGCUCGGAUUGUUGCUGACUGGGAACUUCCUCAUACUGUGGAUACAAAAUAAAUAAAUAAAUAAUAACAUUUAUUGUAUUUCCAUACAUAGUCAACCAAUGAAAAGUAUCAACAGUAAGCAACUCAAGCAUGAAAUGGUCUUUGUAUACCGAAAUCACAAAUAACUAGAAGUUCCCAUUGUGGCUCAGUGGUUAACGAAUCCGACUAGGAACCAUGAGGUUGCAGGUUCGAUUCAUGGCCUUGCUCAGUGGGUUAAGGAUCCGGCGUUGCCAUGAACUGUGAUGUAGGUCCCAGACGCAGCUUGGAUCCCCACAUUGCUGUGGCUGUGGUGUAGGCUGGUGGCUACAGCUCUGAUUGGACCCCUAGCCUCAGAACCUCCAUGUGCCAUGGGAGUGGCCCAAGAAAUGGCAAAAAACAAAAACAAAAACAAAACAAAACAAACAAAAAAACCCAAAUAACUGAAAAUGAGUUAUUUUACAUCUAGAGCAAACUCAUCAUGUGUUGAUGAAUAGCAUAGGCUGGAACAUACAAUGGCUCAAAGGAGAAAGUUGGUGGGAAGAGAGAGACUGGACAGAUUACUUUGUCUUUAUGCCAACAGCUUCUUUUCCAGGAGGGGAAACAAACCCACUCAAAUGGAUCAUUGAUCUGACACAACACAGAUCAAAAUGAGGAAAAAAAUGCAAUGAAAAAAGCACAUAAUAUCAAUCAAUCAGGAACUGAUAUGGGGAGUCCCCUAGUGGUCUAGUGGUUAAGAAUCCAGCCUUGUUACUGUUGUGGCUCAGGUUACCUCUGUGGCUUGAGUUCGAUCCCUGGCCAAGGAACUUUUGAUACUGCAGGUGCAGGUGAAACAAACAAACAAAAAACAAAUAUGGAAUCCAUCACUGAAGCUUGGGUCUCACUUGAGCCUAUUGUACCUUUUAUGUCUCCAGGAGAUGAUGAAUCCUGCUUCUAAUGGGACCCUGUGUCUGCACCCAUCCUUCAUCCUCAAGUGAGAGUAGCCCAGGGGUUAAAAUUAGCACUGGGCAGUCCUACAGAAGAGGAGCUAGGGCUGAUUGAGGAAUGUAAUUUUCUCAGGAACCCACAGUGUCCUGCAAGGCCCUUCUUUGGGUAACUCUGCUCAGGAGACAGCCAGAGUGGAGGAGCCUUGGGGCUGGGUUUUGCCUGCCUCUGAAACCCAAACUCAAGCCUUUUCCCAAAGGUGUGGCUCUUCAGUGCUGUGCCACCAGUUGCAGCAGGAGCAUGCUGCCUCCCCCGGCCAGGCUGUGGAACCCGCGCACCGGGGAACUCUGCACCCCGCCGAUCAUUGAUGUCAGUUCCUUUUAUUUCCGUGAAGCUACUUAAUGAGAUUCUUCAUGCAUAAAAUUAAUUUUUGCCCUCUUCUAUCAGCUUUAACCACUAAAGGAUUUACUUACAAUUUUGUCAGAUUUUAUUUACACGUAAAAUAAAGGGACCCGAAUCAUAAUGAAGGCUUUUAUGGGUGAUGAUGGAGAUACAAAGGGAAGCUGAGAGUGGGCAGCCCUCCAGCCCCCCUGUGGAUGCCAGGAUGCAUAAUGCAUGAGAUACCCCCUGCAGAAAUGCACUUGAGACCCUUCCUUCCCAGAGCAACACCCCCAGUCAGAUCCCAAUUUGUUGUUGAGGGAGAGAAGGAGGAGCAGGGCUAUUAAUAAACAGUGCAAAUAAUUAGGCUUUAAGGGAAUUUGGUAUUUUUCCACACACAUUAGAUUUGCUCUCAAUCCCUUCACAAAUGUGUCCUGAGCUACUGCUUAGCAGCCAGCAGGCUGUGGCACUGACUGCCCCCUGGGAAGCUGUCUGGAGAUGGGAUGGGGGUAGAGCUGGGCAACAUGCUCCUUGAUAAUAGCAGACCUGUGCCCAGGCUCCUUGCCAGGCACUGUGCUAACAUGAUGUCACCUAAUCUUCCAAACAGCUGGUAGGGUGGCUAUUGUCAUUCUUGCUUUAAAGAUAAGGAAACUAAGCUCCAGAGAGGUUCCAUAGCUGCCUAAGCCACCUACUAGUGUUUGUGGGAUCCUCCCCACUUGACUUGGCUAAGAGGUUACUCUUUUAUCCUCACUCUACUUUCAAUCAUGACCCCUCCUCCAGGCUAUAAAGUUCAGUCCAGUGGGUUCAGAACAAGCACUAGACAGUGGGCAAGAAAUCUGGCUUCUAGCUCUACUCCCAUUUUUAUUACUAAAUGCUGUGUGACCUUGAGCAAAUCAUUGCAUUUCCAUGACUGUUACAUUGUUUUGAAAAACAAGAUUAUAAUCUCAGGGACCCUGUUCAGUUCUGGCAUUCUUAUUCUGGGACAUAGUCUCCACAGGGCUUGAUAAAAGAGGGGUGUGCAAAGUGCACGUGUUAACUCACAGAGACUGAGCUGUUUUCAGACUAAAACACUUGGAGCUAUGCCACUGCACAGGCAGCGCUGGGAUGGUCUCUGGAUUUCCAAAGCUGGGAGUAACUACUAAGCUGCCCUGGAACAUCAAAGAUUUUUUUCUUACUCACCCUUCUCUUGCCAGCACUAGAGAUGAAGAAUCACAAAGACGACCAAAAUGACAGUUGCAUCCCAUGGCUAAGGGCUAGCAACUGGAGAUGAAGAGCACAUUUGUACAUUUCAGCCCCUUCCAGGAUGGAAACCUUGCUAUAGAGUCCCAGAGGCUAGAUGGGGACUCUAUUUUCUGGAAAACCUGACUCUAUGGGCACCUUGUGUUCCCAACCAGGAAAAGAUAUCAUCAGCCAUUUGAAUUAUAGGGAGGAAUUUCUGCAACACAAUGUGGCCUUUCCCCUACCCUGGGUUCUCUGUCUCUAAUACUGCAACAGAAGUACCAGAGCCACAAUGUUUUAUCCAUUCAACAAAUACUGAGAGGCUACUGUGCUUGAAGCACAUGUGAGGUGUCGAGGAUAAAAAGAAAAGGAAGAUACAAUGCUUUCCC